UACGUAGGGGGCGAGCGUUACCCGGAUUUACUGGGCGUAAAGCGCGUGUAGGCGGCUGGGCAAGCGUGGUGUGAAAUCUCCGGGCUCAACCCGGAAACUGCAUUGCGAACUGACCUAGCUGGAGUGCAGGAGAGGGCAGCGGAAUUCCCGGUGUAGCGGUGAAAUGCGUAGAUAUCGGGAAGAACACCAGUGGCGAAGGCGGCUGCCUGGCCUGUAACUGACGCUGAGACGCGAAAGCGUGGGGAGCGAACCGG
rnacentral:rRNA from 1 species